UGGCGGACGGGUGAGUAAUGUCUGGGAAACUGCCUGAUGGAGGGGGAGUAACUACUGGAAACGGUAGCUAAUACCGCAUAACGUCGCAAGACCAAAGAGGGGGACCUUCGGGCCUCUUGCCAUCGGAUGUGCCCAGAUGGGAUUAGCUAGUAGGUGGGGUAACGGCUCACCUAGGCGACGAUCCCUAGCUGGUCUGAGAGGAUGACCAGCCACACUGGAACUGAGACACGGUCCAGACUCCUACGGAGGCAGCAUG
rnacentral:rRNA from 1 species